UAAUGCCUGGGGAGUUCGUGUUUUCAUUUAAAUGGCGACCCGAACAAAUUUUCCAAGGGAGCUAUGGCAAUGAUGUGUUGAAUGCCUCCACGCCUUAUGGCCUGUAGAUGGAAUCCUAAUUCUAUGUCUUGUGCUUACCACCUAGUAGCAUGCGGUCUCGCAUGGUGAUAACGGCUCAUCCGGGUAUUUU
rnacentral:other from 1 species